UACCAGAAACAAUCACAGACACUAUUCUAUUUGAAAGACAAGGAAACCGAGGUUCCUGAGAGUCCUGAGACAUGCUGACGUGAUGCAUUCCAAACCAAAGGCCCUGUCUUCCGAACCUCAGACCAGCAUGUGAAUUACUGACAAUGAUUCCUAAUGUUUAUUUUAUUUCCAUAGAUCCAAGCUGCCCUCUGUGUGCAUUGCAACUAGAUGUAACAGGUUUUUAAAUAUUCGCAGGAAGAGAAAGGCUCCAUGUUUUGUGACUUUUCUGGAACCUGGCUAUUCAUUCAUUUAUUCGUUGUCCUAAUAGAUACUUACCAAGUUGCCUUAGCUGCUAGGACCUGGGCUAGGUCCUGGAGUGGAAGUCGUGAGCAAAAUGAGCUUGUGUUCGUUCUAGUGAGGAGAGUGAGACAUUGAAGGUGUCACUGCCAGGUGGGGAUGCUCUGAGGAAGCAUGUGGCAUGGUCAGGGGUGGAGAGUGACCAGGCUAUUGUCCUGAGAGCAGGAGUGCGGAGGCAUCAUUUGGUGGGCAGAUAAGCUGACAUGUGAGCGCCUGAAGGAAGUGGGUGAUGAGACACAGAUGACCUGGGGAGAGAAUGUUUCAGACAGUGGCAGAGGAUGCAGUGGGUGGGGUACGAUAGGGGCCCAGGUAGGGGAGGGCAGUAGGGUGGAGGUGCAGAGGAGGAGGCCCAGCUCAAGCAAACGCACAUCACUUAGUAACUGCACUGGGACAGAGGUGAAGGACAGGGUCCUGGACAGGCUGGGGUGUGUGGCUGCCUGCCAUGAAGGUCAGGGUGGGGCGCUGGCUCUAACUGUGGGUGGGCAGACAGUUCAAGGGCUCUGAGCAGAGGGCAGGGGUGCUUGACUCUUAAUCCGGAUUGACCGUGGAGUUAUCAGAGUUCACUGUCAGAGUGGACGCAGGCUGUGGGAGAAACAGAGAAGCAAGCAUGACUCCAUGGUGGCCUGAGCACCUGAGCACGUGGUGCCUCUACUGAGGUGCCAGGAAAUGGUCAGAUCAGUUUUGAGGAGAAAUGGAAGAGUUUGGUUGUAUGCAUGUUACCUUCGAUGUUCUUAUUUGACACUCCACUCAUUCAAGUGGAGACGUCUUAUUAGUCAGACACUGGAAUCAUCAGGAGAGAUGUAUAUGUGGUGUGGAGAGUCCCUGGGGCUGGAUGAGAUCUCUGAGAGAGAGAGUCUAGGCAGAGCAGAGAGAGGGCAAGGAUGGAGCCCUGGGCCUUGUGGCACAAGACCAGAAGGCUGAGAAGGAACACAGAGAGGUAGGAAGAAAGGAAGUGUGGACAAUAUUUUCAGGGUCUGCCAUGACCUGUUCUGGAUGUUCCCAUCAGGACAGUGACUCAGAGCAGGAUUUAGUGGGAGAGGAGGGAGGCAGUGAGAUGUCAGUCCUGAGCGCUGAGCCCAGUGCCUGCCUGUGAGGACAGGGGCAGCUCUGUUAUGAGCAGGUGUGUGGGAGGAUGAGCUAUGGGGGAGAAGGGAGGGUGGGAUCUGAGCAAAUGCCCUCACUGGCCUCUCUGGGGGGAGUUGGAGCCAUGGUGCAGAACGUGCCAUCUGGGCAGCCUGAGGUGGACACUCCUUGCUCUGCGGGUCACCAGUGACUAAUGACAAGAGCCCACCUGCACCUGUCGAUACAGCCUACCCUCCAGAGUGAAAGAGCAGAGGGGAAAUGACAUCAGGGCUUCUGUGGAGGCAAAGGAACCCUGGGAAUUACAGAGUGAAAAAAAGAAAAAAACAAGGAACAGAGAAAGUCGUCUUUGGUCGGUGAGUGUUUAGGAAAUUUCAGGGCAAAUCAAGGACAGCGACUGCAACUCUAAUAAGAUCUCUUCCAGCACGAGGAUGGCAGAGGUGACAGAGACACAGCUUUGUGACUCCCAGUGGGCUCCUGAAGAAGACCAGGUCGCGGUCUGCCCACCCUGACCCUGCUGAAGGAAAUGACGGUGGGGUUCGGAACUGGAACUGCUUCCUGAGCAGGCAUCUAAUUCAUUGCCCUGAGCUCAGUGGAGUGGCUUAGAAGGAAGGAUCCUGAUGCAGCCUGAGGCUGGCUGUGCCAGGGCCCUGCUCCAGCAAGAGCCCGGCGCAGGGCUCAGGAAGCACCAAGGGCUGAGGAAACCCUCAAGCUGCAGCGGCGAUGCUCCACAGUGGCAGUUCGAGCUCCAGCCAUCAGUUGGUGGUGGCGGGGAGGAGCACCUCAUGUGGCUGCCUGCCCUCUCCAUCUCUGGUCUCCUCUGGUCUUUGCUCAGGGGCCUGACUAAAGCCCAUACGGAGGGAGACUCUGUUCACCUUCCCAGAUGGGACCACCAGGGGGCAGUGGAGCACACUCGCAGGCUGCCUGCCGCCUCCGGACCGGGAAAAGUCUGCAGAAGCUUGAGAGGCAGGGGGCACAGGCCAAGGCGACCGUAGCGUCAGAAAUCAUCCUCAGAUCACAGGUCCUCCUCUCAGAGAACGGCAGAACUGUGCACUGGCUUCAAAUCAACCAGCUUCUCUCUCCACGCAGAAGCUGCCCACCCUUCAUAGCCUCAUCAUCAUUUUGUUCUGGAUCAUCACCCCGAUUUCACUGGCAGGCAGAGCCCAGAGAGGCUGAGUGACUAAACUGAAGCCACACAGUCACGAAAGAGGUCGCGCAUGGGACUUUUCACGGUGAGAUUUUAACCCCACGGAUCUUCCUCACUGCUUCAUGAUGGUUAAUCCAGUUCUCACCUGGGAAAGCAGAUACCUGGAUUCCCCUUCACAACUUCAUCAGAACCUCUUGGGGGAGGGAAGGAUCUUGCCUGGAAUCUUCAUUUUUAACAAGCUCUCCAGGUGAUCCUGGCAGACAUGCUGAUUGAGAACCCUGCACUUGUGGGAAGACCUGGCCUGAACCCAACUGUAAAGGAAGGAAAUACAGGUACAGGAAGGAAAUGGGACAGUGAUGAACCAUUUCCUUGGUCUCCCUUUAUCACACCCUUGCCCCUUAUGCUGGGCUUCCAACCCCCCACCCCAGCCCACCACCCCAGCCCAGGGUGUAACUACCCACCUCCGAAAUCCCCCUGGGGCCAAGGACUUAUCCGCAUCACUCCCGACCUCCUCUCCUCACACUCUGACCAAGAUCGACACUGAGAUGCCCUUUACUGCCAUACCUUCCGAAAUGACAAGUUAAUCUGAUUAAAAAAAUCAAUUGUUGUGGGAUUAAGACAGAGAGUGGCCCCAACAACUGGCCAAUCCCAGGUAUCAUGGGAAUCUAAAGCAGCGUUUUCUGGAUGUAACAUCACAGUCUCAGCUUUUAAUCCAAGUGCUACAACGAGGCUGAGAAUUUCAGGGAAGAAGAGGGAGACGCAUUCAGAAAGAUAGAGACACUGGAUGCUGGGGCUGGGUUGUCAGAGGUGUUUUAUCCAUACCACAGAGGCGACCGAUGCCAGUCUCAGGUUUUGUUUUGGUGACAAGAGUAUGUAUUGCUUUUUCUAUUACAGAGAUAAUAUAUCUAUGCAUGCAAAAUAUCUAAGCAAUUUAGAAAAUUAUAAAGGAA